UCUUAAACAUCCAACUAGACUUUUAGAGUUGGAUUAAUUGGUUUACCUUCACUUUUCUUAGUCAACUUGGUGUCAUAUUCCACAAAUGUAAUAGUAGAGUGACAAUCUUCCAUAGAAAACUUCUUUAGGAUCCCAUUUACAUAAUUUUCUUUUGAGAUAAUAAUUUCUUUAUUAUCUUGUAUAAUUUUGAUACCGAGGAAAUAAAUCAUUAAUCAUUAAGCC
rnacentral:lncRNA from 1 species